GUUAGGGUGGCAGAGCCUGGUACUUGGCAUACAACUUACACGUUUAUAGUCAGAGGUUUAACUCCUCUCCUUAACA
rnacentral:tRNA from 1 species